GGAUACCAGGCAAUUCUUGAUGAAAGAGAGGCAGCAUUCGAGGCAUCACAGAAAUAAGACUGAUACCGAAUGUUUCGGGAUUGUGGGAGCACGUAGUGCAGAACAAUCUGCAGGUAUCA
rnacentral:misc_RNA from 1 species